UUUUAGCCCCGAUUGUAGUGGAAAUCCCGAGCUUUUUUGCGAGGAUUGAAACGGAAAGCGGGAAAAAUG
rnacentral:sRNA from 2 species